rnacentral:rRNA from 1 species
UACGUAGGUCCCGAGCGUUGUCCGGAUUUAUUGGGCGUAAAGCGAGCGCAGGUGGUUUAUUAAGUCUGGUGUAAAAGGCAGUGGCUCAACCAUUGUAUGCAUUGGAAACUGGUAGGCUUGAGUGCAGGAGAGGAGAGUGGAAUUCCAUGUGUAGCGGUGAAAUACGUAGAUAUAUGGAGGAACACCGGUGGCGAAAGCGGCUCUCUGGCCUGUAACUGACACUGAGGCUCGAAAGCGUGGGGAGCAAACAGG